AACGCGAAGAACCUUACCUGGGCUUGAACCGCUACUGACCAACGGUAGAAAUAUCGUCUUCCCGCAAGGGACAGUAGUAGAGGUGCUGCAUGGCUGUCGUCAGCUCGUGCCGUGAGGUGUUGGGUUAAGUCCCGCAACGAGCGCAACCCUUAUUCGUAGUUGCCACCCGCAAGGGGGAACUCUACGAGGACUGCUCCGGAUAACGGAGAGGAAGGUGGGGAUGACGUCAAGUCAGCAUGGCCUUUAUGUCCAGGGCUACACACGUGUUACAAUGCACGGUACAGACUGUUGCGAACCCGCGAGGGGGAGCUAAUCGGAUAAAACCGUGCUCAGUUCGGAUUGCAGUCUGCAACUCGACUGCAUGAAGCUGGAAUCGCUAGUAAUGGCGUAUCAGAUCGACGCCGUGAAUACGUUCCCGGGCCUUGUA
rnacentral:rRNA from 1 species